rnacentral:rRNA from 1 species
GAUGAACGCUGGCGGCGUGCCUAAUACAUGCAAGUCGAGCGAACAGAUGAGGAGCUUGCUCCUCUGACGUUAGCGGCGGACGGGUGAGUAACACGUGGAUAACCUACCUAUAAGACUGGUAUAACUUCGGGAAACCGGAGCUAAUACCGGAUAAUAUAUUGAACCGCAUGGUUCAAUAGUGAAAGACGGUUUUGCUGUCACUUAUAGAUGGAUCCGCGCCGCAUUAGCUAGUUGGUAAGGUAACGGCUUACCAAGGCAACGAUGCGUAGCCGACCUGAGAGGGGGAUCGGCCACACGGGAACUGAGACACGGUCCAGACUCCUACGGGAGGCAGCAGUAGGGAAUCUUCCGCAAUGGGCGGAAGCCUGACGGAGCAACGCCGCGUGAGUGAUGAAGGUCUUCGGAUCGUAAAACUCUGUUAUGAGGGAAGAACAAAUGUGUAAGUAACUAUGCACGUCUUGACGGUACCUAAUCAGAAAGCCACGGCUAACUACGUG